rnacentral:rRNA from 1 species
GACGAACGCUGGCGGCGUGCUUAACACAUGCAAGUCGAACGGUGAUGCUCCGGCUUGCUGGAGUGGAUCAGUGGCGAACGGGUGAGUAACACGUGAGCAACCUGCCCCAGACUCUGGAAUAAGCGCUGGAAACGGCGUCUAAUACUGGAUACGAAACUGGCCCGCAUGGGCAUGGUUUGGAAAGUUUUUCGGUUUGGGAUGGGCUCGCGGCCUAUCAGCUUGUUGGUGAGGUAAUGGCUCACCAAGGCGACGACGGGUAGCCGGCCUGAGAGGGCGACCGGCCACACUGGGACUGAGACACGGCCCAGACUCCUACGGGAGGCAGCAGUGGGGAAUAUUGCACAAUGGGCGAAAGCCUGAUGCAGCGACGCCGCGUGAGGGAUGACGGCCUUCGGGUUGUAAACCUCUUUCAGCAGGGAAGAAGCGAAAGUGACGGUACCUGCAGAAGAAGCACCGGCUAACUACGUG